CCUACGGGAGGCAGCAGUGGGGGAUAUUGCACAAUGGGGGAAACCCUGAUGCAGCGACGCCGCGUGUGGGAAGACGGUCUUCUGGCUUGUAAACCACUGUCCCCAGGGACGAAAAUGACGGUACCUGGGGAGGAAGCUCCGGCUAACUACGUGCCAGCAGCCGCGGUAAUACGUAGGGAGCAAGCGUUGUCCGGAAUUACUGGGUGAAAAGGGAGCGUAGGCGGGGAUGCAAGUUGGGUGUCAAAACUACCGGCUCAACCGAUAGUCGCACUCAAAACUGCAGCUCUUGAGUGAAGUAGAGGCAGGCGGAAUUCCUAGUGUAGCGGUGAAAUGCGUAGAUAGUAGGAGGAACACCAGUGGCGAAGGCGGCCUGCUGGGCUUUUACUGACGCUGAGGCUCGAAAGUGUGGGGAGCAAACAGGAUUAGAUACCCCGGUAGUC
rnacentral:rRNA from 1 species